AGAACGAACGCUGGCGGCAUGCCUAAUACAUGCAAGUCGAACGAGACCUUCGGGUCUAGUGGCGCACGGGUGCGUAACGCGUGGGAAUCUACCCUUGGGUUCGGAAUAACAGUUGGAAACGACUGCUAAUACCGGAUGAUGACGAAAGUCCAAAGAUUUAUCGCCCAGGGAUGAGCCCGCGUAGGAUUAGCUAGUUGGUGAGGUAAAGGCUCACCAAGGCUACGAUCCUUAGCUGGUCUGAGAGGAUGAUCAGCCACACUGGGACUGAGACACGGCCCAGACUCCUACGGGAGGCAGCAGUAGGGAAUAUUGGACAAUGGGGGCAACCCUGAUCCAGCAAUGCCGCGUGAGUGAUGAAGGCCUUAGGUUGUAAAGCUCUUUACCCGAGAUGAUAAUGACAGUAUCGGAGAAUAAGCUCCGGCUAACUCCGUGCCAGUAGCCGC
rnacentral:rRNA from 1 species